UUGGGAAUGAAAGGAAUGGCAGGAGAGUGUGAGACCGAAAAGGCAUGUUUCCUGCGGGAUGCCUCUCUGCUCCCGGCUUCGGAGGCCUGUGCCUCACCUCGUCCGAGGCCAGCACCAGAUCAGUCAGGGGGCAGCAGUGUGGAGUAGUGGUUAGGGCUCUGGACUCUUGACCGGAGGAUCGUGGGUUCAAUCCCAGGUCCUGAUUCAUCGGACUGCCGAGUCAGAGCCCUUUUAUGUGUUUUCAGAUCCUCUGAGCCUGGUGCUAUGUAAAGGCGGCUCAUUGGUCAGGGAUCUCUUCACAUCCUAACUUCAAGUCUGGGCCCCUCCAAGCCUGCCUCCUAAGUCCGGGCUCUCUUUGUCUGCCUCUGUCCCACUAACAAGCUUGUUUUCUGCUUCCUCUAUUCUACAGCCUUAACAAACGCCCCGUGAAUUAUUAAAAGUCUGCGUAAAAGCGCUAAAAUUCAAGUCUGU